rnacentral:rRNA from 1 species
AGUGAACGUUGGCGGCGUGGAUUAGGCAUGCAAGUCGAGCGAGAACCGUAGCAAUACGGGGACAGCGGCGAAAGGGACAGUAAUGUGUAGGUACCUACCUCCGGGUUCGGGAUAGCUGCGGGAAACUGCAGGUAAUACCGAAUAACGUCUCCGGACCAAAGGUGUGAUUCCACCUGGAGAGGGGCCUGCAUCCUAUUAGCUAGUUGGGGAGGUAACGGCUCACCAAGGCGACGAUGGGUAGCGGGUGUGAGAGCACGACCCGCGUCAUUGGGACUGAGACACUGCCCAGACACCUACGGGUGGCUGCAGUCGAGGAUCUUCGGCAAUGGGCGCAAGCCUGACCGAGCGACGCCGCGUGCGGGAUGAAGGCCUUCGGGUUGUAAACCGCUGUCGUAGAGGAGGAAAUGCAGGGGGGUUCUCCCCUCUGUUUGACCUAUUCUAGGAGGAAGGACGGGCUAACUACGUGCCAGCCGCCGCCGUAA